rnacentral:rRNA from 1 species
UACGGGGGGGGGCAAGCGUUGUUCGGAAUUACUGGGCGUAAAGGGCGGCGUAGGCGGUGCUCUAAGUCGGAUGUGAAAACUCUGGGCUCAACCCAGAGCCUGCAUCCGAAACUGGAGUGCUAGAGUUCUGGAGGGGGUAGCGGAAUUCCUGGUGUAGCGGUGAAAUGCGUAGAUAUCUGGAGGAACACCGGUGGCGAAGGCGGCAUCCUGGACCAACACUGACGCUGAGGAGCGAAAGCCAGGGGAGCAAAGCGGG